rnacentral:rRNA from 1 species
CAGCAGCCGCGGUAAUACGUAGGUGGCAAGCGUUGUCCGGAAUUAUUGGGCGUAAAGCGCGCGCAGGUGGUUUAAUAAGUCUGAUGUGAAAGCCCACGGCUCAACCGUGGAGGGUCAUUGGAAACUGUUAAACUUGAGUGCAGGAGAGAAAAGUGGAAUUCCUAGUGUAGCGGUGAAAUGCGUAGAGAUUAGGAGGAACACCAGUGGCGAAGGCGGCUUUUUGGCCUGUAACUGACACUGAGGCGCGAAAGCGUGGGGAGCAAACAGGAUUAGAUACCCGAGUAGUCCCUGUCUCUUAUAC